AGUCGAGCGAACAGACGAGGAGCUUGCUCCUCUGACGUUAGCGGCGGACGGGUGAGUAACACGUGGAUAACCUACCUAUAAGACUGGGAUAACUUCGGGAAACCGGAGCUAAUACCGGAUAAUAUAUUGAACCGCAUGGUUCAAUAGUGAAAGACGGUUUUGCUGUCACUUAUAGAUGGAUCCGCGCCGCAUUAGCUAGUUGGUAAGGUAACGGCUUACCAAGGCAACGAUGCGUAGCCGACCUGAGAGGGUGAUCGGCCACACUGGAACUGAGACACGGUCCAGACUCCUACGGGAGGCAGCAGUAGGGAAUCUUCCGCAAUGGGCGAAAGCCUGACGGAGCAACGCCGCGUGAGUGAUGAAGGUCUUCGGAUCGUAAAACUCUGUUAUUAGGGAAGAACAAAUGUGUAAGUAACUAUGCACGUCUUGACGGUACCUAAUCAGAAAGCCACGGCUAACUACGUGCCAGCAGCCGCGGUAAUACGUAGGUGGCAAGCGUUAUCCGGAAUUAUUGGGCGUAAAGCGCGCGUAGGCGGUUUUUUAAGUCUGAUGUGAAAGCCCACGGCUCAACCGUGGAGGGUCAUUGGAAACUGGAAAACUUGAGUGCAGAAGAGGAAAGUGGAAUUCCAUGUGUAGCGGUGAAAUGCGCAGAGAUAUGGAGGAACACCAGUGGCGAAGGCGACUUUCUGGUCUGUAACU
rnacentral:rRNA from 1 species